rnacentral:rRNA from 1 species
CCUACGGGAGGCAGCAGUGAGGAAUAUUGGUCAAUGGGCGCGAGCCUGAACCAGCCAAGUAGCGUGAAGGAUGACUGCCCUACUUAUUGUAAACUUCUUUUAUAAAGGAAUAAAGUUAGGCUCGCGGUCCUCUGUGGGUAUAUUUGAUGAAUAAGCAUCGUCUAACUCCGUGCCAGCAGCCGCGGUAAUACGGAGGGCCCGAGCGUUAUCCGGUUUUACUGGGUUUAAAGGGAGCGUAGAUGGGUUGUUAAGUCAGUUGUGAAAGUUUGCGGCUGAACCGUAAAAUUGCAAUUGAUACUGGCAGACGUGAGUACAGUAGAGGUAGGCGGAAUUCGGGGUGUAGCGGUGAAAUGCUUAGAUAUCACGAAGAACUCCGAUUGCGAAGGCAGCCUACUAAACUGCAACUGACAUUGAUGCUCGAAAGUGUGGGUAUCAAACAGGAUUAGAUACCCGGGUAGUC